UACAUGGGGUGCAAACGUUGCUCGGAAUCAUUGGGCGUAAAGCGCGCGUAGGCGGUUACUUAAGUCGAAUGUGAAAGCCCUCGGCUUAACCGAGGAAGUGCAUCCGAAACUGAGUAGCUAGAGUACGAAAGAGGGUCGCGGAAUUCCCGGUGUAGAGGUGAAAUCCGUAGAUAUCGGGAGGAACACCGGUGGCGAAGGCGGCGACCUGGGUCGAGACUGACGCUGAGGCGCGAAAGCGUGGGGAGCAAACGGG
rnacentral:rRNA from 1 species